UACAGAGGUCCCAAGCGUUGUUCGGAUUCACUGGGCGUAAAGGGUGCGUAGGUGGCCAGGUAAGUUUGGUGUGAAAGCUCGGAGCUUAACUCCGAAAAGUCAUUGAAUACUAUCUGGCUGGAAGGGUCGGAGGGGAGACUGGAAUUCUCGGUGUAGCAGUGAAAUGCGUAGAUAUCGAGAGGAACACCAGUGGCGAAGGCGAGUCUCUGGACGACUCCUGACACUGAGGCACGAAAGCUAGGGGAGCAAACAGG
rnacentral:rRNA from 1 species